UGGGGUGUGACUCAGUGGUAGAGCACUUGCCUAGCACAUGUGAGGCACUGGAUAUGAUCCUCAGCACCACAUAAAAAAUAAGCAAACAAAAUAAAGCUAUAAAAAAAGCAAGUGAGCUGCGGUUGUAGCUCAGUUGUAGAGCACUUGGCUACAAGUGUGAGACCCUGGGUUCAAUCCCCAGCACCACAU
rnacentral:tRNA from 1 species